CACGUGCUCCCCUCCUCCAAC
rnacentral:miRNA from 1 species